rnacentral:rRNA from 1 species
GAUGAACGCUGGCGGCGUGCCUAAUACAUGCAAGUCGAGCGGACCAAAGAGAGCUUGCUCUCUGAGGUUAGCGGCGGACGGGUGAGUAACACGUGGGUAACCUGCCUGUAAGACGGGGAUAACUCCGGGAAACCGAAGCUAAUACCGGAUGAUAAAGAGAAACGCCUGUUUCUUUUUUGAAAGUCGGCCUUGUGCUGACGCUUACAGAUGGGCCCGCAGCGCAUUAGCUAGUUGGUGAGGUAACGGCUCACCAAGGCGACGAUGCGUAGCCGACCUGAGAGGGUGAUCGGCCACACUGGGACUGAGACACGGCCCAGACUCCUACGGGAGGCAGCAGUGGGGAAUAUUCGGCAAUGGACGAAAGUCUGACCGAGCAACGCCGCGUGGGCGAUGAAGGCCUUCGGGUCGUAAAGCUCUGUUGUCAGAGAAGAACAAGUACCGGAGUAACUGCCGGUACCUUGACGGUACCUGACCAGAAAGCCACGGCUAACUACGUGCCAGCCGCCGCCGUAA